rnacentral:rRNA from 1 species
GUUUGAUCCUGGCUCAGAUUGAACGCUGGCGGCAUGCCUUACACAUGCAAGUCGAACGGUAACAGGUUAAGCUGACGAGUGGCGAACGGGUGAGUAAUAUAUCGGAACGUGCCCAGUCGUGGGGGAUAACUGCUCGAAAGAGCAGCUAAUACCGCAUACGACCUGAGGGUGAAAGCGGGGGAUCGCAAGACCUCGCGCGAUUGGAGCGGCCGAUAUCAGAUUAGGUAGUUGGUGGGGUAAAGGCUCACCAAGCCAACGAUCUGUAGCUGGUCUGAGAGGACGACCAGCCACACUGGGACUGAGACACGGCCCAGACUCCUACGAGAGGCAGCAGUGGGGAAUUUUGGACAAUGGGCGCAAGCCUGAUCCAGCCAUGCCGCGUGCGGGAAGAAGGCCUUCGGGUUGUAAACCGCUUUUGUCAGGGAAGAAAAGGUUCUGGUUAAUACCUGGGACUCAUGACGGUACCUGAAGAAUAAGCACCGGCUAACUACGUGCCAGCAGCCGCGGUAAUACGUAGGGUGCAAGCGUUAAUCGGAAUUACUGGGCGUAAAGCGUGCGCAGGCGGUUAUGCAAGACAGAUGUGAAAUCCCCGGGCUCAACCUGGGAACUGCAUUUGUGACUGCAUAGCUAGAGUACGGUAGAGGGGGGAUGGAAUUCCGCGUGUAGCAGUGAAAUGCGUAGAUAUGCGGAGGAACACCGAUGGCGAAGGCAAUCCCCUGGACCUGUACUGACGCUCAUGCACGAAAGCGUGGGGAGCAAACAGGAUUAAAUACCCUGGUAGUCCACGCCCUAAACGAUGUCAACUGGUUGUUGGGAGGGUUUCUUCUCAGUAACGAAGCUAACGCGUGAAGUUGACCGCCUGGGGAGUACGGCCGCAAGGUUGAAACUCAAAGGAAUUGACGGGGACCCGCACAAGCGGUGGAUGAUGUGGUUUAAUUCGAUGCAACGCGAAAAACCUUACCUACCCUUGACAUGUCUGGAAUCCUGAAGAGAUUUGGGAGUGCUCGAAAGAGAGCCAGAACACAGGUGCUGCAUGGCCGUCGUCAGCUCGUGUCGUGAGAUGUUGGGUUAAGUCCCGCAACGAGCGCAACCCUUGUCAUUAGUUGCUACGAAAGGGCACUCUAACGAGACUGCCGGUGACAAACCGGAGGAAGGUGGGGAUGACGUCAGGUCAUCAUGGCCCUUAUGGGUAGGGCUACACACGUCAUACAAUGGCCGGGACAGAGGGCUGCCAACCCGCGAGGGGGAGCUAAUCCCAGAAACCCGGUCGUAGUCCGGAUCGUAGUCUGCAACUCGACUGCGUGAAGUCGGAAUCGCUAGUAAUCGCGGAUCAGCUUGCCGCGGUGAAUACGUUCCCGGGUCUUGUACACACCGCCCGUCACACCAUGGGAGCGGGUUCUGCCAGAAGUAGUUAGCCUAACCGCAAGGAGGGCGAUUACCACGGCAGGGUUCGUGACUGGGGUGAAGUCGUAACAAGGUAACC